rnacentral:piRNA from 1 species
CCUCCUCGCAGGGCAUAUGAUGGGAUAUGA